rnacentral:rRNA from 1 species
AGUGAACGCUGGCGGUAGGCCUAACACAUGCAAGUCGAACGGCAGCACAGUAAGAGCUUGCUCUUACGGGUGGCGAGUGGCGGACGGGUGAGGAAUACAUCGGAAUCUACUUUUUCGUGGGGGAUAACGUAGGGAAACUUACGCUAAUACCGCAUACGACCUACGGGUGAAAGCAGGGGAUCUUCGGACCUUGCGCGAUUGAAUGAGCCGAUGUCGGAUUAGCUAGUUGGCGGGGUAAAGGCCCACCAAGGCGACGAUCCGUAGCUGGUCUGAGAGGAUGAUCAGCCAAACCGGAACUGAGACACGGUCCAGACUCCUACGGGAGGCAGCAGUGGGGAAUAUUGGACAAUGGGCGCAAGCCUGAUCCAGCCAUACCGCGUGGGUGAAGAAGGCCUUCGGGUUGUAAAGCCCUUUUGUUGGGAAAGAAAAGCAGCAGGUUAAUACCCCGCUGUUCUGACGGUACCCAAAGAAUAAGCACCGGCUAACUUCGUG